GUCUCUCCCGGCGCCCUGUGCUUCCUGUUGCUAUUUCUGCUUGGGAUCAGGCACGGGGCCAGGGAGCAGGUGGUGUCAGGUGAGGAGGCCUAAGGGGGGAUGUUGUGCCCCCAAAGCUCACGUUUUUGGGGAGAUGUGGGUCUCCCUCUCCCCUCACACACGCAGGAAGGAUGGGUGUGGCUGAGAGGGCUGCAAAUGGGAGCACAGGGUGGGGGGACGGGUAAGGGAGGUGCUGGGUGGACUCCAAGGAGGGGGAGGAACCAAGAGACUAAGGGGUGAAGGACGGCGCCCUGGGCCUAGUCUGUCCCUCCCAGGCUGAGAGCAGUCAGAGGCACAGAGUGAGUCAGGACCCUCUGCGAAGGGAGCCAGGCCAAGCAGCUUGGGAAAGGCUUCCGAGGUGUCCCCACAUGAUGUGCACACGGGGGGGGGGGCUGUGCUUGUACAAGGAGGGGGUGGUGGCCCAAAGGGGCAGUGAAAUCAUCUCUUUCCCCGGGUGUGAGCCCCUGACGUCCAGGGACCGCUGUUCUGGGGGAGAAGCUGCCACUAGUGAGAAAGUCGGGCCCCAGGCAAGAGGGGAAGGGGUGUGUGCUUCACAGCUGUGCUCCGAACCAUCUGAAUUGUGCUGGGAACCAUCAGGUGUGCCCUCCAUGUGCUGUGCCUCCCCGCUCUUGAGGAGGGAGGCAGGGCUGCCACCCAGGGCUCCAGGAGGCAGGUGGAGGGAGAGGGCAGGAGAAGCCCUAAGGGAGGUGGGAGGGGUUCCGGGGCCAGUCAUCAACCCCCCAGGCAGGAUUUGAGAGCACGUCCCACCCACCCAAGGCAGGGCCAAGGACUUGGGGGUUCCCCCCAGAGCUGGGGCCAGAGGAGCCCCCUCAGCUCCCCCACCCCUGCGGCCCAGGCUGCUGCUCAAACCAGAGGGCCCCACCUGCCUCACCAAACAGAACUUGGGGACUUGUGCAGACGCCGUCCCAAGUCUGAGCCCUGAGUCCUGGCACAUCUGACCCACCCCUAAGUCAGGAUGAGACACGGCUAUCCAACCCACCCCGGUACCUCCCAGCACCACCCCUGCCUGGCAGCACAGAC
ensembl:lncRNA